UACGUAGGGUGCGAGCGUUGUCCGGAAUUAUUGGGCGUAAAGGGCUCGUAGGCGGUCUGUCGCGUCGAAAGUGAAAACCCAGGGCUUAACCCUGGGCCUGCUUCCGAUACGGGCAGACUAGAGGUAUGCAGGGGAGAACGGAAUUCCUGGUGUAGCGGUGAAAUGCGCAGAUAUCAGGAGGAACACCGGUGGCGAAGGCGGUUCUCUGGGCAUUACCUGACGCUGAGGAGCGAAAGUGCGGGGAGCGAACAGG
rnacentral:rRNA from 1 species